rnacentral:rRNA from 1 species
UCUGAGGAAGUUAGCGGCGGACGGAUGAGUAACACGUGGGUAACCUACCCAUAAGACUGGGAUAACUCCGGGAAACCGGGGCUAAUACCGGAUAAUAUUUUGAACUGCAUAGUUCGAAAUUGAAAGGCGGCUUCGGCUGUCACUUAUGGAUGGACCCGCGUCGCAUUAGCUAGUUGGUGAGGUAACGGCUCACCAAGGCGACGAUGCGUAGCCGACCUGAGAGGGUGAUCGGCCACACUGGGACUGAGACACGGCCCAGACUCCUACGGGAGGCAGCAGUACGGAAUCUUCCGCAAUGGACGAAAGUCUGACGGAGCAACGCCGCGUGAGUGAUGAAGGCUUUCGGGUCGUAAAACUCUGUUG